rnacentral:rRNA from 1 species
UACAGAGGUCUCAAGCGUUUGUUCGGAUUCAUUGGGCGUAAAGGGUGCGUAGGCGGCGCGGUAAGUCGGGUGUGAAAUCUCGGGGCUUAACUCCGAAACUGCAUUCGAUACUGCCGUGCUUGAGGACUGGAGAGGAGACUGGAAUUUACGGUGUAGCGGUGAAAUGCGUAGAUAUCGUAAGGAAGACCAGUGGCGAAGGCGGGUCUCUGGACAGU